rnacentral:lncRNA from 1 species
UUAAUGUAUAAAAACACAGUUUUCUACAGUUUAUCUUUCCGGGCAAAUCCAGCGGUUCCCUACUUUUCUGCCACAUACACCAGUAACACCAUGUUCUCAAUUUUAUCAUCCCACUACACUUUAUUCUAUUCUCUCUCUCCCAUUGAAAUUCACACUUUCUACAUGCUGGAGCAACCUAAUUGCAAAAAAGAGAGAUCUUAGAACUUUGAGCGAGUCGUCCUCUGACGGAGAUUCGGCCGUCAUUUGUUAAUCAAACUCUGAUGAAGACGCAACAAUUGCCUUUGCCGUGGCGCCGCCUCGGACAAACGUUGCCCAAAACUCGGGCUGGCCUAUGGCCUCACGCCGCCUCCAAACGCAAGAGCGAACCCAACAAGUUUCCUUCUCCCUAUAUUCCUAUAUUUUUUUUUCUAUUUCUUAUUAAGCAGACUUGAAUUUUUACUUCUAUUUUCUUUUCUAUUUUAUUGAUUACCAGGCUCGAGCAAUUCUAUGAUCUUUUUCCGAAAAGGUCUUGAGCCAUUACACAUAAUCAUCGAUCAUAUAAUUGGAAAGGAGGUAAUAUGCAUCUGGAUGUUUAUCUAUUCUUUUACACUUCUUGUGAUAUUUUUAUUUUGAUGAAUAAUGCUAGAAAGACUGCACAAUUUGUGUGUAAUUUGAUAAUAUUUAGCAAAUUCUUAAAUAUCUGAUUAUAGUACUAAUUAAAUUUGGAUUUUUUUUGAAGGAACUCGGGGAGAUUUGUAAAAGUAUUUUUUGAAAACUGAGAUCCGAGUCAUACGUAUGUUUUUCCUGCGCUGUUUCUUUAUUCUGUCAGCCAAAACAAAUUGCUUUUAGUCGGGAGAUUGAUGUUAUAUCUCAUUUUUCUCUGCCUCGAUUGAAUUUUCUCGAUGUUUUUCAUGCGCUAUGUGUAUUCAUUCAGCAAAAAAAGCCCUUUUGUCGGUAGAUUGAUGAUAUAUCUCAUUUUUCUAUAGCUUGAUUGAAUUUUCUCGAAAUAUAUAUGUAUGAUUUUCACGCGCUAUUUAUUUAAUUUAGUCAAGAAAAAUGGCUUUAAUUGGUGGAGUGAUGUUAUAUUUCAUUUUUCUCUUGCUCGAUUGAAUUUGAUAUCAUCAUAAUUGGUGGAUUGAAUUUCUGAUCAGAAUCUCCUUUCCUUUACGUUCUCUCGGAUUGCCAGUUGGUUUUUUGAUAUUAUCAUUUGAAUGUUGGAAUAGGUUUUAUACCUUUAUCUGUUAGAGGCCUUUAGGAGAAUUGUAGUUGGGGUUCUGAUGGAUAGUUGGUUUGUUGAAUUUAGGAGGCAUAUUGCUGAAGAAUAUCUUUGCGUUAUUGUGGUGAAGUUGUAUCAAUUUAAUUUCCAUCUUCUCCAAUUUGAAGCCGUAUCAGUUUUUCUAUCCCUUUCAAAGGAAUUUUAAUGAACAUGAUUAUAAUAUAUUUUUAAGGUGUAAUAGUGAUGUUGGUCCAUUGUCUCCAUUUAUAAUUGUUAGCGUUUUCGCUUGAAUUUUUGGUGUGUGUGUCUUUUCUUCAGCAGUUUCACAUGAUUUUGACACAAGGAGAAGUCGAUUGCGUAUGGUGCUUGAUCAUAUAAUAAGGUUUGAUCAAAUAUUGGUUUCAAAAGUGAAUUAUACUUCAUAUUUCGAAUGUUGUACAUUUUUUAAUAUUUUCUUGGAUUUGUCUUGGCAUUUCUCACUGCAUCUGCAUACAUGUUUGGUGUUUAGAUUUCCUUAAAUGUUAAUUUAUAAGCACCUAUGUGUCAAGUUUAUUGUCUCGCUGAAUUAGCUAAUUGUGAAAGAAAAUUUGCUAGAAUCAGUCUUUGACUUUUUUAACCACCGUUUUCUACAUUGUUUGUACAAGCAUCUUUGUUUUGAGCUUAGAAGUUAUAAAAUUGUGUGUGUAAAUAUUCUUGAAUUUUACGUUUACAAUAUCCCUCUACUCCUAAACGAUAAAGCCAACCAAACCAUCAUAGUCUGUGUGAUCAUAAGAUAACAGACAACAUAUAUGUAUGUGAGUUUUCAGAUUAAGAUGUUGCUUUUUUAUUUGUUCUUUUAGAUAUGAUUUUGUCUAAAAGUGAAAAGCAUGGGCUUUGAACAAUUUGGGAGACUUCUCUCGACAUGCCUCCGCUGAUUUGGAUGCUCAUAUAGACAAUGAUACAAGGUGAUUUCAAAAGGGGCCUUCUCAUUUUCCCCCAUUUUAUGCGUUUGAUUGUGUUUUUUGAUUUUUUUUUUGUUGUGUGUGAAUGUGUUUUGUUCGUUUCAUUCUAAGUUUUCUUUUAGAGAAUUAGCAAUUGAAAAGAGUAAUAUUUUCAAUUGAUAAAGUCGAUUCAUUAUUUUUGCAGAAUCUGAACGAUGUAGUGUGGACUCACGAAUCAAGUGACAAAUAAUUCAUUCGGAAGAUUGUAAAAAUGGUGCAGGAAAUGUAAUAUUUAUGAGACGUUUGGGAGGUGAACUGCUGAGGGUUUUAGGCCACGAAUAAAGACAGAUGGGUAAGAGAAAAUUGGAAGAAGGAUUAACAUUGUUAGACAUAAGUCAACCACUUCCUAAUGAAAAAUGCUUCAGUGAUUGCGUCGAUACAUUUUACUCAUUCAGUGAAACCACCUAUCUUUUUCUUGGAAAAUGUAGAUGAUGGAGCAACAGUGCGGAGGAAAAUUUUAUUAUGACGUUAUUGGUGACCAGUAUCUCACUAUCACUGUGUUUUUGGGCACGAAACACUUGGAAAUGAAAAGUAAAUUGUCUAUCUAUGCCCAUACGUUCAUUUGUGCACAAAACCGAUAGCCAGAAUACAUAUUAAAAUAUUGUUGUUCACGAAUAUAAUCAUUCUCACUAUAACAUAACCCCUAAUAUAUAUAUAAACACUUCUUAACAUAUAAACCAGCUAAAAUGUAUGAAUUCAAUAUAGAACACAUACAAAUUAUUUAUGUAAAUGUCUGUAUUGCGAAAAAUAAAAUUUUCACUCUAUUUGGAAUUCAAACUCAGGACUAUGAAUUCAUUUUUUAAUGAUCGGGUCACGGUUGACUUGAACCUUUGAUCUUAAACAUGAACCACUCUACCC